CCUACGGGAGGCAGCAGUGGGGAAUAUUGCACAAUGGGGGAAACCCUGAUGCAGUGACGCCGCGUGAGCGAUGGAGUAUUUCGGUAUGUAAAGCUCUAUCAGCAGGGAAGAAAAUGACGGUACCUGACGAAGAAGCCCCGGCUAACUACGGGCCAGCAGCCGCGGCAAGACGGAGGUGGCAAGCGGUCUCCUGAUUUACUGGGUGUAACGGGAGCGUAGCCGGUCCUGCAAGCCAGAUGUGAAAGCCCGGGGCUCAACCCCCGGACUGCAUUUGGAACUGACAGGCGAGAGUGUCGGCUGGGCCGGCGGCAUUCCUAGUGUAGCGGUGAAAUGCGUCGAUAUUAGGAGGAACACCAGUGGCGAUGGCGGCCUGCUGGACGAUGACUGACGUUGAGCCUCGACAGCGUGGGGAGCAAACAGGAUUAGAUACCCGUGUAGUC
rnacentral:rRNA from 1 species